rnacentral:rRNA from 1 species
UACAGAGGUCUCAAGCGUUGUUCGGAUUCAUUGGGCGUAAAGGGUGCGUAGGUGGCGCGCUAAGUGGGGUGUGAAAUCUCGGAGCUUAACUCCGAAAUUGCAUUCCAUACUGGCGUGCUUGAGGACUGGAGAGGAGACUGGAAUUCACGGUGUAGCAGUGAAAUGCGUAGAGAUCGUGAGGAAGACCAGUGGCGAAGGCGGGUCUCUGGACAGUUCCUGACACUGAGGCACGAAGGCCAGGGGAGCAAACGGG